ACUUCUUUCCCCUUGGCUGCCCCCCUGCCCAUCUUCUCCUCUCUCCAUUGUUGCAGCCACCAAACCCAAGCCGCCCCCCCCUCAAUCCCCUCCUCCCAAGGUGCCAAUCCUUGCCGCUCGGAUCAUCGUCACGUGGUGCGAGUCUUCAAUCGUUUUGGUGGAGGGAAGAAGGGAGGAAGGAAAGGGGGAGAAUCCAAGGUGAUUUUUGUGUUCAUCCCUUGUUCAUUUGCGCUGCAAUUUAAUUGAUUAGAGGUUGCGUUUGCGAUUGGGUAGAGGGGGCUGUCCAGAAUUUUAGGUGGUGGAUGAACAGCAGUAGUUCUAGCAGUUCUGUGUUUUUUUCGUGAGAAAUUAAGGGAAAACAGUUUGGGGAUUAUGUAGAACUUUGUCUUACCUUUCCAACGAGUAUUUAUGCGAUCAAUUUGGAGUUAUAAAUUGAAAGUUAUCACCGUUUGAAUCCGGGUAUGUGGCUGUCCAAAAAACAGAUUUUCAGGGGGAUGAACAGCAGCAGUAUUAGCAGUUUCUGGGGAUUUUUCGGGAGUAAUUAGGGUUAAUCAGUAUAAGAAUCAUGAAGGGCUCUUUCUUAUCUUUCCAACAAGUACUUAUGCGCUUGAUUCGGAAUUAUAUUUUAAAAGUUAUCGCUGUUUGAAUCCGAGUAUGUCGCUGCCCAAAACAGAAAAAAAACAGAUUGCAGGGUUUAUUUUGUGGACCGUUUAGGGGUAAUUAGAUGUUAAAAUUUAAUCAUAAGUUGUAUACAAAACUUGUGGGGAAUUUUAUGUAGUUGCCUCUGGAGUUUUUGUUUGACACCACUGCUGUCUUAAUUUUAAAGUUAUGGAAUUGUUAAGCAGCGCCGCUGCAGUUUGGUUGGUGUGGGGAGAAUUGUUACCCGCGGCGGGGUUGGAGAUUGCGCGUAGGUGCGGCAUUGUUUUGAGUUUUUUUUAUGUGAAUUUGGUGCACUAAGUUGGGUGUCAAAAACAGGUGGUGGACUCCCAGAUCAUUCUUAGGGAUUUGCCCAAACUUCCGGUGAAGGCAAGUAAAACUGUGAUGGUUAUUCUGUCUGUCAGAUGAGGAGUCUUAUACUUGUUUAUGUUGUGCUAUUAUGUUCAAAUUCAUAGUUUCUUUUGAGUACCAUCAUUUGAAAAUGUUCAUGUUUCAUGAAUUUCAUAUGUUGAGUUUGAGGUUUGAUUAUGUUGCUCAAGUGGUUAUUAUGUGGAAUGGGUGGAAGUAAAUGCCUAGCACAUUUUUAUUUGGGAAGAACUCAUGAUGUUGUCAUGCAUAAUGCACUCAUCAUCCAUUGCAUUGAAGUUUCGUCGCGAUCUUAUGGUCCGACCGUACCGGUACAUUGAGCAUCAUAUGUUGCCCGAGAAGGGGUAUGGUGCAGCUUCAUAUCCUUAGAGAUAUGGAGGCAGAAGUCAUUCUUGCAUUUGUAGCCAUGUGCAUUCAUGGGAGAGGUGUUGAAUCUAUUAUGUGGAUGUGGAUAAUUUGGGCUUGUGCAUGGUGAUUCUACUUGGCGUUGAGCUUUUAGUUACUUGUUUACUUGCUGCAAUUUACUGUUCAAAAGAAAAGAAAGAAGUCCUGAACACAUGGUUGUGUAAGCACAGUUGAUUUGCAAUGUCCUAUUUGUUGUUGUUAUGUUUACUUGCUGAGAUGUGUUAUCUCACAUCUUGCAUUGUUUGAUGCAGGCACCUAAUUUCUGCUUUGGGAAUAGAGGUAUGUAGCAGCACGGCCACUACACCUUUAAUAAAGGAACCACCAUUUAAUAAUGUUGUUAAUCAGAGUUGGACAAGUCUAGUGAAUUGCUUUGUUCUUGGUUGAGCGUUUAUUUUGGGGUGGGCUGAGUCUUAUCCCAUUUGUUUUGCUUCAGUUGGGUCAUAAUUAAGUUUUGCCACUAUUGCAUUUCAGUUUCUACUAUGUGAAUUAUAUGUCUUUAUAUCUUGUAUGAGCUUCAUGAUUCCCCUCCUUGUUAUGCUAGUUUUCAAAGGAGGUGCUGCCGGAUUUUGCUAUAUAUUCUUUCUUUAUUACUUCUCUUGUGUUGAGUAAGUUUGGUGGGUGGUGUUUGUGGUAUUAUCCAUUGUGUGUGACCAGUGGGGUGUUACAGUUGGUAUCAGAGGAUAGGCUGUAGGUCCUAGCAAGUGGAGUAGUAAUAAAUUGACACACUGCACAUGUAGGAUGGGAUUUCUGUCUUGCUAUUGAUAUGAUUAUGUUAUGGUCUGUGCUAGCUUUGACAUUAUCUGAAGAGAUGUUAUGCCUAUCUCAUUUACUUAUUAUUCUCAUCCCUGUGGCUGCAGCUAUGCCGCCUCGUAGGGCUCAGGGUAGUCCGCAAGCUCCUAGUGGGGACUCGAUGAGUCCGGCGGCAAUGUUAGCCGCAAUGCAGGCCAUGCAGCAGGAGUUGGCCCUUCUGAGGCAAGCCAUUCCUGUCGCCCCUGCGGGUGCUGCUCAGGGUGCUGGAGGUGGAGAAGUGCCCGGGGGCGCUGUCCCUGCGGGUGCUGUUCCAGGUGGCGGGGCCGAGGUGCCCCUUCCAGUCAGUGGUCUUUCUCUGAUGCAGUGGAUGGGCAUGAAGUUGGAUUCUUUUGAUGGCAGUGGUACUCCAGUCGAGGCGGCAGAUUGGUUGACUUAUGUGGAGGAUAAGAUGAAUGUCUUCGAGAUUGCAUAUGGAGAUCGGGUUCGCUUUGGCACUCAGCUGCUGAAGGGAGAGGCGCAAAUUUGGUGGAGAGGCGUGCAGGCAGCGCACUCCUCCUCACCAGGAGUCCUAUCAUGGGGUGUUUUCAUCAGGCAGUUCGAAAGGAGAUUCUACCCGGUCGCCUUUCUGGAGAAGAUGAAGAUUGACUUGCAGUCCUACAAGCAGGAGAAGAAGUCGGUCACAGAGUAUGAGGUGGGCUUCAACAAGAUGGUCCGCUUUGUCCCUCAUGUGGCUUAUAAUGAGAUGGAGAAGGCGAGCCAGUUCCGUCAGGGUCUGAAGCCUUCUAUCAGGCAUGCACUGGGGGCCUUUCCGUUGGUGGACUUCCGGACCACGGUGGAGCAGGCGCUGGGUGUGGAAAUGCAACACCAGUAUACCAUGGAGUCGCAAAAGUCUUCGGGUGUUGAUCAGCCUCGUAGCCAGGACACGAGGAGGGGCAACACUGGAGGUCCAGCUCACAAGAGGGGCAAGUCUCAGCAUCAGCGCCACCAUCCUUACCGUGGCAAAUCUUCUGACUCGGGUACUUCGGGAGGAAGUACUCAGAGGUUUCGGGCCGUUCCUAAGCCCGGGCUGGGGCUGGUGUGUUUCCGCUGUGGAGAUGUGCAUCGCCGUGCAGAGUGCCAGUGGAGUGGCAGGUGUUCGAUCUGCAGUCAGGACCACAAGUGUUGGGGCCAUGCUUCGUUGCGCCGAAGGUCUUGCGCGAAGAAGCAGCUUCGGUUGAAAUCGUCCCCAGGAAAUGGCCGAAGGUUCCUUUUUAUAGAGCUUCGGCGUUACGAACCGACAUAAAGAUAGAAUGACCUUUUUAUCCAUAGAGGUCUAAGAUAAUGUUGUAAACUUUUGUAAAGGGCAUAAUUGUAAUUCGUCACAGGCUGCGUCCUGUGUCUAUAAAUAGAUGAACAGUACCCCCGUACUGUUCACGCGAACCUGUCAUUUGCCUUCGCAUCACACUUGUAUUCUUCAAGACCGAAGGUACAUUUGUAAUUUGAAGUCAUUUACAUUCGUUUAUAAUAAUAAAAAUGGAGAUGGUUCUAUGAUAACAUUUAAAUAUUUUCAUAUCUCAUGGUUUAUAUGAAUGUUUCGUUCCUCGUUGUCAUGCUUACGAAGGUACGUCCUUCGUAACCUUCGUCCGAGAUGCUUUAUAUCCCAAAGGGAUAUAAUGUUAUGGAGGACGAAGGACUUUUACACUUAACAUUUUCUAUGUUGCCUUGUUCUUAAUUCUUAGCGUUUGAGAACAAGUCCCCAACAUUGGCGCCCACCUCCGGUGAACUCACUUCCACUUUUUGAGCUGAUGGCUUCGUUCAACAACCAAGCUGGAGUUGCUUCGGACCCGAAGCUGGUGCUCCCGAUCACAGGUGGCUCAUCCUCAGAGCCAGCUAACAAGAAGCAGAAGAAGGAAGCACAGAGAAGAGUACAGCAUGUUGGGGUGCAAGGACCCUUCAUCAAAUCAAGAUGGUCUCACAUUCCUAUUACCUUCUCCCAAGAGGACCUUCAGCUCAAAGAUUACCCACACAACGAUGCCAUGGUUAUCUCUUGUGUUAUCAAAGGAUUUCUGGUCCACAAUGUCUUGGUUGACACAGGCAGUGCAGCUGACAUCAUAUUUGCUAAAGCCUUCAGACAAAUGCAAGAGCCAGAAGAUAAGAUUCAUGAUGCUACACACCCUCUCUGUGGCUUCGGAGGAAGACAGAUUGUAGCAUUGGGCAAGAUCACCAUGUCAGUGACCUUCGGAUUCAUCAACAACACUAGAACUGAGCAAGUUGUGUUUGACAUUGUUGACAUGGAAUAUCCUUAUAAUGCAAUUGUUGGUCGUGGUACUCUUAAUGCCUUCGAAGCAAUCCUUCAUCCUGCUUAUCUUUGCAUGAAGAUACCUUCGGAACAGGGACCCAUUGCUAUCCAUGGAAGUCAGGAAGCCGCAAGAAGGGCCGAAGGUAACUGGACUGACUCCAAAGCAAUCCAUAAUAUAGAUGGAGCCGAAGCUUGUGAACAGUACAAAUUCAGAAGGGAGAAGGCAGCUUCAGCAGAUCAGCCGAAGCCCAUGCUAUUGUGUGAGGACAUAGCAGAGCAGAAGGUGCUGUUGGGCUCGCAAUUAUCUGAAGACCAGGAGAAAACCUUGAUAAGGUUUUUAUUCAACAACAAAGAUGUUUUUGCAUGGUCGGCUAAUGAUCUCUGUGGAGUAAAUCGGGAUGUUAUUGAACAUUCGCUCAAUGUUGACCCAUCCUUCAGACCCCGAAAGCAGAGGCUUCGGAAAAUGUCUGAUGACAAGGCCGAAGGGGCUCGCAAUGAAGUAAAAAGACUCCUCAGUGCAGGAGUUAUCAGAGAAGUGAAGUAUCCAGAGUGGCUAGCUAACACUGUUAUGGUGAAGAAGGCCAAUGGCAAGUGGAGAAUGUGUAUCGAUUUCACAGAUCUCAACAAGGCUUGUCCGAAGGACGAAUUCCCGUUGCCAAGGAUAGACUCUCUAGUCGAUGCAGCAGCUUCUUCAGAGCUCAUGAGUCUCUUGGACUGUUACUCAGGAUAUCAUCAAAUCUGGAUGAAAAAGGAAGAUGAGCCGAAAACUAGCUUCAUAACUCCAAGUGGCACGUAUUGCUAUCUUCGGAUGCCUGAAGGGCUCAAAAACGCUGGAGGAAGUUUCAGCAGAAUGACUGCGAAGGUUCUUCAGUCUCAAAUAGGCAGAAAUGUGUUGACCUAUGUUGAUGACAUUAUCGUCAAAAGCACGAAGCAGGAAAAUCAUAUUGCUGAUCUGCAGGAGACCUUCGCCAGCUUCAGACAAGCUGGUUUGAAGCUGAAUCCAGAGAAAUGUGUCUUCGGAGUAAAGAAGGGUAAAUUUCUUGGAUGCUUGGUUUCAACAAAGGGAAUCGAAGCUAAUCCAAAUAAAAUCGAAGCUAUACUUCGAAUGGAGCCACCAACUACAAGAAAAGGGGCCCAAAGAUUGACAGGAAGGCUGGCAUCUCUCAACAGAUUUAUAUCCAGAUCAGCAGAAAGAAACUUACCAUUUUUCGAGGUGCUGAAGUCAGCCGAAGUCUUUCAAUGGGGCCCAAGUCAACAAAAAGCCUUCGAAGAGUUGAAGCAAUACUUGAUAGAUCUCACAACAUUAACUCCACCAACGCCAGGGGCUCCUCUGUUGCUAUAUGUGGCAGCUUCGCACUCAGCAGUAAGUGCGGCACUUGUCCAGGAGAAGCUUGAUGGCCAGCUCAAGAAGCAAGUUCCAGUGUAUUUUGUAUCUGAGGUCCUUAGUGUCUCAAAGAAAAAUUAUACAGAGCUGGAGAAGGUAUUAUAUGCCGUUUUAAUGGCUUCCAGGAAGCUUCGGCAUUAUUUUCAGGCAUACAAUAUCAUUGUUCCUUCUUCGCAGCCGUUGAAGGAUAUAAUGAGAAAUAGAGAAGCUACUGGACGGAUUGGGAAAUGGGCUGCAGAGCUCAACGAAUUUUACAUUGAUUAUGUGCAUAGAUCUUCGAUCCAGUCUCAAGCAUUGGCAGAUUUCAUUGCCGACUGGACGCCAGGGGCUCAGGAUGAAGAAGCAAAUAAAGAUGCCGAAGUGUGGACAGUAUUUUGUGAUGGAUCUUGGGGAAUCUUCGGAGCAGGAGCAGCUGCUGUGUUGGUUUCACCAUCCAAGGUCAAAACUUGUUAUGCAGCAAGACUUGAUUUCAGCUGCACAAACAAUAUUGCUGAGUACGAAGCCCUGCUUCUGGGUCUUCGGAAAUUAAAGGCAAUGGGAAUCAGAAGGGCAAUUCUUAAAACUGAUUCCCAGGUGAUUUCGGGUCAUGUUGACAAAAGUUGCAAGGCUAAAGAUCCGAAGCUUGAAAAAUAUCUAGAUACGGUCCGAAGGAUCGAAGCAUCCUUCGAAGGAUUCUCUGUCAAGAAUAUCCCUCGAGGACAAAAUGAGCAUGCUGAUUUGCUAGCUAAGUCUGCGGCACAGGGGCUGCCGUUACCUUCGGAUGUGUUCUUCGAAACAAUAAAGGCACCUUCAGUGGAGCUCCUUGAAAGAGCAGUCCUCAACAUAUCUCCUGUUUACAGCGAAGAUUGGAGAACUGAAAUAAUCUCUUACCUUCAGGGUAAGUUCCUUUCAGAUGACGAAGCUUACAAUAAAAGAGUAGAGGCAAGAGCUCGUCCGUAUGUCAUGAUAGAAGGGGAAUUAUACAAACAUGGAGUUUGCGCUCCGCUGCUCAAGUGCUUAUCUAGAGCCGAAGGUAUAGAGUUGAUGAAAGAGAUACAUGCAGGCCUGUGUGGAUCCCACAUCGGAUCCAGGCCGUUACUUGGAAAAGUGUUCCGCCAAGGUUUUUAUUGGCCGAAGGCAGCUUCGGAUGCAGCGGAGUUAGUCCAAAAGUGCGAAGGUUGUCAAAAAUGUGCAAGAGAUCAAAAGCAACCUUCGUCCUUGACACAGCUGAUACAACCCAUCUGGCCAUUGCAAAGAUGGGGCCUUGAUUUGUUGGGUCCAUUACCACCGGCCCAAGGGAAUCUAAAAUAUGUUGUAGUAGCUGUGGAGUAUUUUUCCAAAUGGAUUGAGGCGAAGCCACUAGCUACAAUAACUUCGGCCACUGUUCAAAAGUUUUUCUGGCAGAACAUUGUCUGUCGCUUCGGAGUACCGAAGGCCAUCACUGUAGACAAUGGAACGCAGUUCGACUCCGAAGCUUUCAGAAACUUUUGUGAUCAAAUUGGAACGAAGAUCCAUUUUGCAUCAGUCAGGCAUCCGGAGUCGAAUGGGCUUGUUGAAAGGGCCAACGGCAUUAUAAUGACAGGAAUAAUGAAGCUAAUCUUCAAUCAACCCAGGGGAAAGUGGCCAGACCAGUUAACCAAAGUGGUGUGGAGCCACAAUACAACAGCAUCAAGGUCUACAGGCUUUACCCCAUUCAAGUUAUUAUUCGGAGACGAAGCAAUAACCCCGGAAGAAGCCAAAGCUGGAUCAAUAAGAGUAGUAGCUUCGGCAGAAUCAGGUCCCGAAGAUGCUUGCCUUGUGGAAAAGGAUGCUUUAGAAGGGAUCAGGCUUCAGGCCGUGGAGAAUAUCAAUAAAUAUCAGGCUGAAACAGUUAAAUGGCGAGAUAGAAAAGUCCGGCUAAAAAAUAUUGAGCCGGGGCACUUGGUGCUUCGGAGAGUGGCUAACCCAGAUACAGUGGGUAAGCUACAGUUGAAAUGGGAAGGACCAUUCUUAGUAGUAUCUUCGUCAAGGCCUGGAUCGUACAGAUUGAAGGACAUGGAUGGCAACGAAAUUCCAAGGUCUUGGAAUGCGGAUGAGCUUCGGCGAUACUAUGUAUAACAUGAUGUAAAUUUUCAUGUUUUUUCUUUUCUUUUUCAUGGCACCCUUUUCCUUUCCGAAGGGGGAGAAAGGUUUUUAAUGGGGCCAUCAUGUGUAAUUUCCUUUUUUAGUCUUAUAAGAGCAAAAUCCCCCAAAAAAUGUAAAUGUAACAGCUGAGAACGCACCAUCGAGUGCAGAAACUGAAAAAGAAAAAAGAGAAGAAGCUCCAAAGACGUUCCUAAGGGAAUGCAGAGCUUAUACCGCCUAAGUAAAAGGCGAAGAAACUCCAAAGUCGUUCCUAAGGGAAUGCAGAGUUUAUACCGCCUAAGUAAAAGGCGAAGAAACUCCAAAGUCGUUCCUAAGGGAAUGCAGAGUUUAUACCGCCUAAGUAAAAGGCGAAGAAACUCCAAAGUCGUUCCUAAGGGAAUGCAGAGUUUAUACCGUCUAAGUAAAAGACGAGGAAGCUCCAAAGUCGUUCCUAAGGGAAUGCAGAGCUGAUGUGUGGUUGAUUCCAAGGAAAUAAUGGUUGAGUGUGACUUCGGUUAUAUGUUUUGGACAUUCAUUCGCACAACACAUUACAUCAUAGCAUUUGCAUUCAUAAGCAUUCAUUCAUGGCAUCUGUGUUACUAAGUGGUUGCUUCGGCAAAAAGGAGAAGUAUUCUUUUAUGUUUUGGAGUGUACAAAAAAGAAAAGCUUCGGCAGAAAGAAGAAGUAGUCUUUUAUGUUUUGUACAAAAAAGAAAAGCUUCGGCAGAAAGAAGAAGUAGUCUUUUAUGUUUUGUACAAAAAAGAAAAGCUUCGGCAGAAAGAAGAAGUAGUCUUUUAUGUUUUGUACAAAAAAGCAAAGCUUCCGCAGAAAGAAGAAGCAGUCUUUCAUGCUUCGUUGUGUACGAAAAGAAGGGAAGGUGUUUUUUUCGCCUUCGGCUCAAAAUAUUGAUUUCGUCCACAUCAAAGCGUCUUAAUAAAAGGGUAAGGAUAUAUUACAAGGUAUGUACAAAGUUCCUUGAGAACGGUUUAAUUGUAUUUACAACAAGUUGUUACAAAUUUUCCUCAGUAUUUUCUAGCCUACUACUACUAAUCUUCUUCAGGCUUCCGCUUCGGCGGCAUAUUCUUUAAUCAUCUUCAGCUUCGUCAUCCUACAUGAAUCCAGGUAUCCAGAGUAAAAAUCAAGUAUGAAGGAGAAGGUAAGUACAAAGAAGGAUUUCUUACUGGUUCAAGAUGACUUCGAGCUUCGUCUCCAGCCUUCUCCCGCCCGCCUUUUGUCCAUAUCAUUUUUAUAAAUCUAUUUGAGAUACUUCGGGCGAGGUCAGGUCUAUCGUCCAGGAUUGAUGGAGACAGGGUGAAGUUGGGCCUGUUGACGAUCUUUCCAUGCUCGCAGCCAGCCUUCAGGAAUGCUGCAGCAGUACCCCGAGAAGCUACCCAGGCACAGAAGUCACCGUGCCCAGCUAUAACUUCGUCAAGUUCUUCAAUUUCAGCUUCGAUAUGAUCGAAGGCUUUUGGUAAAUCUUCAUCCGAAGGGGUAAAUUUCCCGCUGCUGGCUCCAACUGAGUAAAAGAUCUUCUUUAGUUGUUGGAUACAAUUGUUGCUAAAAUUCAAACAUUUAUCCUGAAGGCUUGUUAAUGAUUUCUUCAAAUUUGAGUUGGCUUGGACUUCGGCUUCAAGUUUAGAAUUAAGCUCUAGUUUUUCUUGUUCAAACUGUUUUGAUUGACCGAUAAGCUUCGAAUUCAAUUCUGAUAUUUUAGCUUCGGUCUCUGCCAGCAAGCCUUCGGUUGAUUGAAGUUCGAAGUCUUUCUUUUCGAUGAUGGCUGAUUGUUCUUUUAUUUUGCUCUCUAAAUUUCCAAUUAUAGCUUCGUGUUUUUUGUCCUCCAAAUCCUGCUGCAUCUUCAGAGCUUUGCUCAGUAGCAUGCUCUGCACAAAAACAGUUUUCGUUAGUAACAUUUUCAUUAUCCAAAGCAAUAAGGAACAGAGAAAAGAUUGUUUACCUUGAAAUUGGAAUAAAAUAAGCUGCCAACGAUAUGCUGUCGUCGGUAGCGGCUGAUAUCUGUCUCUAGCUUCGGAAAACCGAUACUCUUUGACAGAGUACCGAUGACCUUAGCUCCGGUUUGGUCUCGAAUGCAGCCUAAUUUUUCAUCGUCCACACCUCCGAAUAGAAGAGCUCCUGGCCUGUAUCCGCAAGAUUUGGCAUAGUCUUUUAGCUCUUCUAUUUCCUCCUCCGAAAAUUUUUGCCCAAUUAAAUUUUGAAAUAUGUAGGCUUCGUCGUCCGAAGCGACUUCAGCUAUUUCUUUCCCCUUCUCAGGCACUGCGGCCAUGACUUUUUUAGCAGCAGCGGCAGCUUCUUCUGCAGCCAUGUCUUCUAAAAUUUUGUCGAUAUUCUCAAUGGUAGUCUCUAAGUUCAUAUCUUCGGUUGUAGCGGCUUCGGUAGCCGCGACCUCCGAAGGUGCGACUUCGACGUUUGUUGUGUCUUCAGUAGCUGCUGUUUUCUGAAUUGAUGCUCUCGGUGGCGUCUUGUCAAUAACUUCUGUUACGGCAAUAAUUCUUUGCCUUUUUGCUUUGGUUAUCUUCGUUUUUUCCGGCUCCGCCACCUUUUGAAAAAGCUUCGUCAGUCGAGGCCCUAAUGGACUUAGCUUCGUGGGCAUGGGUUCAGUCAUUACCUUUAGAAUUUCCUCCACGUCGCUGGUAGAAGGUGGUGUGGGGGUCCCCUCUUCUUCGGAUAGUUUUCGCUUUGGAGUUGAUAUUUUUCUCUUGACAAUUUUCUUCUUUUUUGGUGGUUGUUCUUCAUCCUUGUUUAAAGCUUCGGCCGCUCUUUUUAUUCUCUGGCCCUCAGCACCCUUGUUCAGCUGCGCAUAGUCAGGAUAUUCGAAGCCCAGUGCAUCAAGCACUCGGUUUAGCCUUCGCUUCGGACGGGUGCCGAAGGCUGCUGUCAUCAGUUGAUCUUCUUUUUUCGAAUAAUUUCCAAGAAUUUCAUUACACAUCACCUCAACUGUGUCCAGCCACUCUUGGCAGGGCUUCUUAAAAUAUUUCUUGAAUUUGAAGUGGUAAGGAAGCCGGACAAGAUCCCCUUCCUUCUUCUCCUCCUUUAACUUUGGCAUUUCCCAUUUUUUCAGAGUAGGGAAGACUUUGAAUGCUAAGAAUUCUUGAACCAGAUCCCUGGUACCAAUAUGCUCUGCAAUGAUUCUGAAUUCAUCCAUUGCCCGUUGAGUUUGACCCUCUGGUGUCAUGUUGCAGUGGGGUCGGGUUUCUCCGAAAGUUAGCUCGAGUGGACUUUGCACAAGCUUCUCCUUGUCCUCAUCAACCUUGACAUAGAACCAUUCUGAUUUCCAGCCUGCCGGCCAUUUGCUUCGGUAGCUAAUUACAGGAAACUUUGCGGUUUUCCGGUAGGCAAAAUUGUAGCAACCGAAGUUUUCAUGAAGCCCAUCUUUUCGGGCCUUUGUUUGAUAAUGCAAUUCAUGAACUCGACAGAAACUGUCAGCAAAAGGCUCCACUGCUUGGCUUCGGAGGGCCCAAAUAUAAACGCUAAGCCUAACGAUAGCGUUAGGAGUUAACUGGUGAAGGUAGAUGCCAAACCUCUUCAAUAUCUCCGCAACAAUCUCGUGAACAGGGAAUCUUAGCCCAGCCUUUAAAAAGCUUUUGAAGAUGACAACCUCGUCCUUCUCUGGCUUCGGGGUGGUCUCUUCUCCUCCGAAGCGAAGUAGCUUCUUCUGAUCUUCACUGAAAAAACCUGCUUUCACCAUCUUGGCGAGAUCAACCUUUGAAACAGUCGAUUUUCCGAAGUCUAGGUGGCUGGGUUUGCUGGGCAUGGCAAUACGGUAGUCAUCUUCGGAGUUGGUUUCUUCAAUGUUCCCUUCUCCUUCGGCAGCUGUCGGGUUUGCUUCGACAGCAGGCAUUUCUUCCGCAGUCACCAGUCCGGAGCGCUGCAUCGCUUCGGAGAUGGGCACAGUCUCCGAAGCUUCAGUUUCGUCCCCCUCACGCUCAACCCUAGCUGUAGAGCGAACUCUGGCCAUUUAAUUACGAACUUGUCAAACUUUAAUACUUUUUUAUCCGAAGCAGGCUUCAAGAUGGAGCUUCGUUCAAACCUGACAAACAAGCUUCGGUGAUGGUUAAAAAUUUUGGCAGCAAAACAGUGCAAAUAGCAGUAAAUGCUGUGGUAACUUCACACCUACUCGUCUGUUUAUAUAGUGCUGCAGGUAAGAAGGCGAAGCGGCAGGGUUUUUACACCAGGCGGGCAGUAACUUGUACUCGCUGCGCAGUGGACCGCAAAGACCAAACAGUGACUCUGCAAGGUGGGACCGACACGAUCUCGGGAAAUGAAUCGUUUCUCGGCAACGAGCUCAGGGAAGGUGUUUUUUGGACCUUCGGCUUCCCGAAGCUUGAGAGGAUUUUUUCACGGUUCAAGCUCGUUACGAAAAACGAUCUAGCGCCGCGAAAGGGGCUACUGUUGGGGCCAUGCUUCGUUGCGCCGAAGGUCUUGCGCGAAGAAGCAGCUUCGGUUGAAAUCGUCCCCAGGAAAUGGCCGAAGGUUCCUUUUUAUAGAGCUUCGGCGUUACGAACCGACAUAAAGAUAGAAUGACCUUUUUAUCCAUAGAGGUCUAAGAUAAUGUUGUAAACUUUUGUAAAGGGCAUAAUUGUAAUUCGUCACAGGCUGCGUCCUGUGUCUAUAAAUAGAUGAACAGUACCCCCGUACUGUUCACGCGAACCUGUCAUUUGCCUUCGCAUCACACUUGUAUUCUUCAAGACCGAAGGUACAUUUGUAAUUUGAAGUCAUUUACAUUCGUUUAUAAUAAUAAAAAUGGAGAUGGUUCUAUGAUAACAUUUAAAUAUUUUCAUAUCUCAUGGUUUAUAUGAAUGUUUCGUUCCUCGUUGUCAUGCUUACGAAGGUACGUCCUUCGUAACCUUCGUCCGAGAUGCUUUAUAUCCCAAAGGGAUAUAAUGUUAUGGAGGACGAAGGACUUUUACACUUAACAUUUUCUAUGUUGCCUUGUUCUUAAUUCUUAGCGUUUGAGAACAAGUCCCCAACAACAAGGAUGUGGUGUGUAGGAGGAAUCCCAAUGGGAAGCUCAGAUGGGAGCCGGUGACUUCCUCCUCUUCUCAGGGCACUAUCAACAUGAUGUCAAGUGUUGAGCAGCAGUUUUCAGUUCCUCUUCCUCCACAGCAGCUUUAUGUGCCUGGGACUUCUCAGUUCGUGCCGAUGCAGGGUUUCCCUCAGUAUUAGGUCGCGCCUACUCCUGCACCGUCUACCCCUGUGCUGACUCAGUUUGGAGCUCCGCGCCAGCCUCCUCCGGUGGCUCAGUGGGGGUUCUUCUGUUAAUUUCACUCCGGGAGCUUCCUCUUAUGCGGGUAUUUCUGGAGCUUAUGUGCUACCCGCUACGGAUGGCAGGGAGCAAGGAGACGUGGUGACAGGUACGAUUUCAGUUGAUUUAUUUGCAGCCCAUGCUCUUUUUGAAUCUGGCGCUAGCUAUUCGUUUGUUUCGGAGGAUUUUGUGUCGCGGGCUGGUCUUUCGGUGCAGAGGUUGGGUCACCCAAUUUUGGUUAGUUCUGCUAAUGGCUCCAUUAGUAGCUAUUCAGUUUGUCAGGGGUGUUCCGUCAUUCUUGCUGAUGAGGUUUUUUCGGCCAAUCUGGUGGUGAUUUCCUUGGGGGCAUUCGAUGUUAUCUUGGGUAUGGAUUGGUUAUCCCAGUAUCGCGCGGUUAUAUCCUGCUUCUGGAAGACAGUGUUAUUGCAGGCGCCGUCGGGUAAGGAGGUGGUAUUCUUGGGAAGUUCCCCGAAGUUCACAUUAUCCUUGUUGGCACAAUUGCUUCCUGAUCGCCGGUCAAGGAAGUCGGGGAUCUUUUUCUCUAUGGUGGUGGAGGGUGAGGCUGCCUUGUGGGUGCAGGACAUCCGGGUGGUGUGUGACUUUGCUGACGUGUUUCCGGCAGAGCUUCUAGGCAUUCCUCCGGAGCGCGAUGCAGCUUUUGAGAUUAAGCUGAUCCCGGGUACGCAGCCUAUUCAUAAGGCCCCGUAUCGAAUGGCUCCAAAGGAGCAGAUUGAAUUAAAGCGGCAAUUGGAUGAUCUGCUGGCUAAGGGCUUCAUUAGGCCUAGCAGGUCUCCAUGGGCUUCCCCGGUAUUGUUUGUUGAGAAGAAGGAUAAAAGCAAGCGGCUGUGUGUGGAUUAUCGCGCUUUGAAUCAAGUGACAAUCAAGAAUAAAUAUCCGCUUCCCCGAAUUGAGGUCCUCUUUGAGCAGUUGAGGGGUGCCCAGGUGUUCUCCAAAAUUGAUUUGAACUCCGGUUAUCAUCAAUUGAGGAUUUGUGAGGAGGAUAUUGAGAAGACCGCCUUUUGCACCAGGUAUGGGCAUUAUGAGUUCAUAGUCAUGUCUUUUGGCUUAACUAAUGCCCCUGCUGCCUUUAUGGAAGCAAUGAAUAGGAUGCUGCAUGAAUUCCUGGACGAUUUUGUGGUCGUAUUCCUGGAUGAUAUUUUGAUUUAUUCAAAGACCGAGGCCGAGCAUGAACAGCAUCUCCGUCUCGUUCUGGGUGCCCUAAGGAAGAAUCAAUUCUAUGGCAAGUUGAAGAAGUGUGCCUUUUGGCUAUCCGAAGUGGCUUUCCUGGGGCACGUGAUUAAUCAGCAGGGUAUUGCGGUUGAUCCCAAGAAUGUUGCGGCUGUGGUGGAGUGGAAGAGACCUUCUAGUGUCUCUGAAAUCCGAAGUUUCUUGGGGCUUGCUGGGUAUUAUCGGCGCUUCGUACCAAAUUUUUCCAGCAUCGCUAAGCCUUUGACUAGGCCCUUGGAGAAGCGUGUUCCCUUCGUCUGGUCCAGCGAUUGUGAGGUCAGUUAUCAGUCAUUGAAGAGCAAGUUGGUGGACACCCCUAUCCUAGCUUUGCCUGAGAGCGGUAAGUGUUUCACAGUUUAUACGGAUGCUUCGCGUAUUGGUCUUGGCUGUGUGCUGAUGCAGGAAGGCAGAGUGAUUGCGUAUGGCUCAAGGCAGUUGAGGAAGCAUGAGGGGAAUUAUCCAACUCAUGAUCUGGAAUUGGCCGCGGUGGUUUUUGCUCUAAAGUCAUGGAGGCAUUACCUUUAUGGCGAGGCUUCUGACAUUUUCACCGAUCACAAAAGUCUCAAGUAUAUUUUUACUCAGAAGGAGCUGAAUUUGAGGCAGCGACGGUGGCUGGAAUUGAUUAAAGAUUAUGAUUUGUCCAUUCAUUAUCACCCGGGGAAGGCUAAUGUGGUGGCUGAUGCCCUUAGCAGGUCCGGGGUUCCAAAGGUGGCCUUGCCGUUGAUCGCUGAUCUAGACCGUUUGGGGAUCGCUUUGUGUUAUGUCGGCACUGCUAGCAAGGAGACUCAGAUGCUUAUUCAAUCCUCUCUCAUGGAGAGAGUGCGUGCGGCUCAGCAGCAGGAUCGUCUAUUGCAGGAAGCUCGAAAGAGGGUGGGUGAUGGUAAACCGCGGGAGUUCACCAUUGAUGAGAAUGAUUUGGUUCGUUUCAGGGGCCGCCUCUGUGUGCCUCAGAAAUUAGAGGUGAAAAUGGAUAUCUUGAGAGAAGCUCAUAAAACGCCUUACACCGUCCAUCCUGGCGAAACCAAAAUGUACCGAGAUUUGAAGCAAACCUUCUGGUGGAAGCGGAUGAAGGUUGACGUUUCUAAGUAUGUGGCCGCCUGUGAAGUAUGUCAGCGCGUGAAGGCCGAGCAUAAGCGGCCUGCAGGUUUGCUGAAGCCAUUAGAAAUUCCAGAGUGGAAAUGGGAGCAUAUCACCAUGGAUUUUGUGGUGGGUCUACCUCGUUCCCCUCGUGGCAAGGAUGCUAUUUGGGUGGUAGUGGAUCGCUUGACUAAGUCUGCGCAUUUUAUUCCCAUGAAGACCACAAAUUCAGCUUCAGAUUUGGUUCCCUUGUAUAUGAAGGAAAUAGUCAGGCUUCACGGGGUACCUAAGUCUAUUGUUUCUGAUCGAGACUCCAAAUUUGUAUCCAAAUUCUGGGGGAGUCUCCAUAGUGCUUUGGGCACCAAGCUUUCGCUUAGUGUCGCUUUUCACCCUCAGACGGAUGGUCAGUCAGAGCGAACAAUCCAAACCUUGGAAGACAUGUUGCGUGCUUGUGUUCUGUCAUGGAAGGGUAGCUGGGAGGAUCAUCUUGCUCUGGCAGAGUUUGCUUAUAACAACAGCUACCAGGCUAGCAUCAAGAUGGCACCAUUUGAGGCUUUGUAUGGCAGGCGGUGUAUCUCUCCUCUUUGCUGGGAGACUUUGGGAGAGAGAUCCCUGGUUGGUCCUGAUUGGGUUCAGCAAACUUCUGAAAAGGUUCGGGAAAUUCGUCAGAAUAUUUUGGCAGCUCAGAGUCGUCAGAAGAGUUAUGCUGAUGUGAGGAGGCGGGAUCUGGAAUUUGCUGUGGGUGACCAAGUCCUUCUCAGGGUAUCACCCACUAAGGGAGUUGUUCGGUUCGGUGUCUCUAGGAAGCUCAUCCCGAGAUACAUUGGACUGUUCACUAUCUUGGCUCGAGUGGGCAGCCUGGCUUAUCGCUUGCUACUGCCAGAUUCCAUGGCGGGGGUACACCCGGUUUUUCAUGUCUCUAUGUUGAGGAAGUUCUUACGGGAUCCGGACCAUCAGAUUGAGAUGGAACCAAUUGCGGUGCAGCAGGAUCUGACUCUGGAGUGUCGUCCGGUGUGUAUAUUGGAAUUCUCGGAGUGUGUGUUGAGGAAGAGAUAAAUUAAGUAUGUCAAGGUCUUAUGGACUAAUCAGUCUGAGCGUGAGGCUACGUGGGAACUUGAGGAGCUGAUGCGGCAGAAGUACCCGGAACUUUUCGUUGUGGGUAAGUGUUGUUGAUUCAUUAAUCUUUUCUUUUGUCAUUCCGAUAGAAGCGUCAGAAUUCGAGGUCGAAUUCUUUUUAAGAGGGGUAGAGUGUGAUACCCGGUUUGCAAAGAAGAGAAGUUGGGGGGUUGUUCUUUUUGUUUUUUUCUCAUCCAGUUGUUGUUUUGGGGAUUUGGAAUUUUGUGGAAAACAUUCACAGCUAGGGCAGUAGAAUUUAUUUGGUUUGACGCUUGCGUUGCGGUCGGGAGCUGUCGCGUGGAUUAGUUGGGCCGCAAGUGGUGUUUCGGCCCAUUAACCCUCCCAAACCCUAGCCGUCUCCCCCCCACACUUCUCGCCCCCCCCCACCCCCCCCCCCCCCCCCCCCCCCCCCCCCCCCCCCCCCCCCCUUGUGCAGCCGCCCCCCCCCCCACUUCUUUCCCCUUGGCCGCCGCCCCCCCUGCCCAUCUUCUCCUCUCUCCAUUGUUGCAGCCACCAAACCCUAGCCCCCCCCUCAAUCCCCUCCUCUCAAGGUGCCAAUCCUUGCCGCUCGGAUCAUCGUCACGUGGUGCGAGUCUUCAAUCGUUUUGGUGGAGGGAAGAAGGGAGGAAGGAAAGGGGGAGAAUCCAAGGUGAUUUUUGUGUUCAUCCCUUGUUCAUUUGCGCUGCAAUUUAAUUGAUUAGAGGUUGCGUUUGCGAUUGCGUAGAGGGAGCUGUCCAGAAUUUUAGGUGGUGGAUGAACAGCAGUAGUUCUAGCAGUUCUGUGUUUUUUUCGUGAGAAAUUAAGGGAAAACAGUUUGGGGAUCAUGUAGAACUUUGUCUUACCUUUCCAACGAGUAUUUAUGCGCUCAAUUUGGAGUUAUAAAUUGAAAGUUAUCACCGUUUGAAUCCGGGUAUGUGGCUGUCCAAAAAACAGAUUUUCAGGGGGAUGAACAGCAGCAGUAUUAGCAGUUUCUGGGGAUUUUUCGGGAGUAAUUAGGGUUAAUCAGUAUAAGAAUCAUGAAGGGCUCUUUCUUAUCUUUCCAACAAGUACUUAUGCGCUUGAUUCGGAAUUAUAUUUUAAAAGUUAUCGCUGUUUGAAUCCGAGUAUGUCGCUGCCCAAAACAGAAAAAAAAACAGAUUGCAGGGUUUAUUUUGUGGACCGUUUAGGGGUAAUUAGAUGUUAGAAUUUAAUCAUAAGUUGUAUACAAAACUUGUGGGGAAUUUUAUGUAGUUGCCUCUGGAGUUUUUGUUUGACACCACUGCUGUCUUAAUUUUAAAGUUAUGGAAUUGUUAAGCAGCGCCGCUGCAGUUUGGUUGGUGUUGGGAGAAUUGUUACCCGCGGCGGGGUCGGAGAUUGCGCGUAGGUGCGGCGUUGUUUUGAGUUUUUUUAUGUGAAUUUGGUGCACUAAGUUGGGUGUCAAAAACUGGUGGUGGACUCCUAGAUCGUUCUUAGGGAUUUGCCCAAACUUCUGGUGAAGGCAAGUAAAACUGUGAUGGUUAUUCCGUCUGUCAGAUGAGGAGUCUUAUACUUGUUUAUGUUGUGCUAUUAUGUUCAAAUUCAUAGUUUCUUUUGAGUACCAUCAUUUGAAAAUGUUCAUGUUUCAUGAAUUUCAUAUGUUGAGUUUGAGGUUUGAUUAUGUUACUCAAGUGGUUAUUAUGUGGAAUGGGUGGAAGUAAAUGCCUAGCACAUUUUUAUUUGGAAAGAACUCAUGAUGUUGCCAUGCAUAAUGCACUCAUCAUCCAUUGCAUUGAAGUUUCGUCGCGAUCUUAUGGUCCGACCGUACCGGUACAUUGAGCAUCAUAUGUUGCCCGAGAAGGGGUAUGGUGCAGCUUCAUAUCCUUAGAGAUAUGGAGGCAGAAGUCAUUCUUGCAUUUGUAGCCAUAUGCAUUCAUGGGAGAGGUGUUGAAUCUAUUAUGUGGAUGUGGAUAAUUUGGGCUUGUGCAUGGUGAUUCUACUUGGCGUUGAGCUUUUAGUUACUUGUUUACUUGCUGCAAUUUACUGUUCAAAAGAAAAGAAAGAAGUCCUGAACACGUGGUUGUGUAAGCACAGUUGAUUUGCAAUGUCCUAUUUGUUGUUGUUAUGUUUACUUGCUGAGAUGUGUUAUCUCACAUCUUGCAUUGUUUGAUGCAGGCACCUAAUUUCUGCUUUGGGAAUAGAGGGAUGUAGCAGCACGGCCACUACACCUUUAAUAAAGGAACCACCAUUUAAUAAUGUUGUUAAUCAGAGUUGGACAAGUCUAGUGAAUUGCUUUGUUCUUGGUUGAGCGUUUAUUUUGGGGUGGGCUGAGUCUUAUCCCAUUUGUUUUGCUUCAGUUGGGUCAUAAUUAAGUUUUGCCACUAUUGCAUUUCAGUUUCUACUAUGUGAAUUAUAUGUCUUUAUAUCUUGUAUGAGCUUCAUGAUUCUCCUCCUUGUUAUGCUAGUUUUCAAAGGAGGUGCUGCCGGAUUUUGCUAUAUAUUCUUUCUUUAUUACUUCUCUUGUGUUGAGUAAGUUUGGUGGGUGGGGUUUGUGGUAUUAUCCAUUGUGUGUGACCAGUGGGGUGUUACAAAAAUUUUCUUAUUAGGAAAGAAGCUUCGAAUUUAAUUCUGUUAUUUUUGCUUUAGCGUCCACUAAUAAGCCUUCGGCUGUUUGUAGCUCGAAGUCUUUCUUCUCGAUGGCAGCAGAUUGCUCUUUUAUCUUGUUUUCUAAGUUUUCAAUUAUAACUUCGUGCCUUUUAUCCUCUAAGUCUUGCUGCAUUUUUAAUGUCUUGCUCAAAAGUAUACUCUGUGGACAAAUAACCUUCGUUAGAAAAUAUUUCCGUAACCACAAAUAAUAAAAGUUAGAUACAAGACAUUUACCUUAAAAUUAGAAUAGAACAAACUGCC
rnacentral:lncRNA from 1 species